AGAGUUUGAUCCUGGCUCAGGAUGAACGCUGGCGGCGUGCUUAACACAUGCAAGUCGAACGAACCUUCGGGUUAGUGGCGGACGGGUGAGUAACGCGUGGGAAUCUGCCCUCAGGAGGGGGAUAACGGCUGGAAACGGCCGCUAAUACCCCAUAUGCCGAGAGGUGAAAUGAAUUUCGCCUGAGGAUGAGCCCGCGUCUGAUUAGCUUGUUGGUGAGGUAAUGGCUCACCAAGGCUUCGAUCAGUAGCUGGUCUGAGAGGAUGAUCAGCCACACUGGGACUGAGACACGGCCCAGACUCCUACGGGAGGCAGCAGUGGGGAAUUUUCCGCAAUGGGCGAAAGCCUGACGGAGCAACGCCGCGUGAGGGAUGAAGGCCUCUGGGCUGUAAACCUCUUUUCUCAAGGAAGAAGAUCUGACGGUACUUGAGGAAUAAGCCACGGCUAAUUCCGUGCCAGCAGCCGCGGUAAUACGGGAGUGGCAAGCGUUAUCCGGAAUUAUUGGGCGUAAAGCGUCCGCAGGCGGCCUUUCAAGUCUGCUGUUAAAACGUGGAGCUUAACUCCAUCAAGGCAGUGGAAACUGUUGGGCUUGAGUGUGGUAGGGGCAGAGGGAAUUCCCGGUGUAGCGGUGAAAUGCGUAGAUAUCGGGAAGAACACCAGUGGCGAAGGCGCUCUGCUGGGCCAUAACUGACGCUCAUGGACGAAAGCCAGGGGAGCGAAAGGGAUUAGAUACCCCUGUAGUCCUGGCCGUAAACGAUGAACACUAGGUGUCGGGGGAAUCGACCCCUUCGGUGUCGUAGCCAACGCGUUAAGUGUUCCGCCUGGGGAGUACGCACGCAAGUGUGAAACUCAAAGGAAUUGACGGGGGCCCGCACAAGCGGUGGAGUAUGUGGUUUAAUUCGAUGCAACGCGAAGAACCUUACCAGGGUUUGACAUCCUGCGAACCUCUAAGAAAUUGGAGGGUGCCUUCGGGAACGCAGUGACAGGUGGUGCAUGGCUGUCGUCAGCUCGUGUCGUGAGAUGUUGGGUUAAGUCCCGCAACGAGCGCAACCCACGUUUUUAGUUGCCAGCAUUCAGUUGGGCACUCUAGAGAGACCGCCGGUGAUAAACCGGAGGAAGGUGUGGAUGACGUCAAGUCAUCAUGCCCCUUACAUCCUGGGCUACACACGUACUACAAUGCUACGGACAAAGGGCAGCAAACUCGCGAGGGCAAGCAAAUCCCAUAAACCGUGGCUCAGUUCAGAUCGUAGGCUGCAACUCGCCUACGUGAAGGAGGAAUCGCUAGUAAUCGCAGGUCAGCAUACUGCGGUGAAUACGUUCCCGGGCCUUGUACACACCGCCCGUCACACCAUGGAAGUCGGCCACGCCCGAAGUCGUUACUCCAACCCUUGUGGAGGAGGACGCCGAAGGUGGGGCUGAUGACUGGGGUGAAGUCGUAACAAGGUAGCCGUACCGGAAGGUGCGGCUG
rnacentral:rRNA from 1 species